rnacentral:lncRNA from 1 species
AUGAAUAGAGGUUAAUUACAUACCUUUGAGCUUAAUAUAUAAUUAAUAACAUGAAAAGUUAUGUAGGCUUUGAAAAACCAACAUUUCACUAUACUUCUUUAUUGCACCGUCAAGAAGACUGAGUUCAAUUAAAAAAAAUUGAAUUGUGAUGGAAAGAUAAAUGACAUACAAUUGAGUAUUUUAUAUAGGCCGUGGAACAUCUAAAUUU